UUCCAAGCCGAUUAAUAGGGAAUGCCGUGAAAAUCGGCGACAGUACCUGCUGCUGUGAGUUUCAGCCCCCGACCGGGCAACUUCGCGCACUCUUUGCCACUGGCUAUAUCGCUGGGAAGGCGUUGCGGAGGAAACGAGUCAGAAGACCUGCCUUGACAAUC
rnacentral:ncRNA from 1 species